rnacentral:lncRNA from 1 species
GCAAAGUGGGAAGUGUGAGUCCUCAGUCUUGGGCUAUUCGGCCACGUGCCUGCCGGACAUGGGACGCUGGAGGGUCAGCAGCGUGGAGUCCUGGCCUUUUGCGUCCACGGGUGGGAAAUUGGCCAUUGCCACGGCGGGAACUGGGACUCAGGCUGCCCCCCGGCCGUUUCUCAUCCGUCCACCGGACUCGUGGGCGCUCGCACUGGCGCUGAUGUAGUUUCCUGACCUCUGACCCGUAUUGUCUCCAGAUUAAAGUGUGGCGUUUUCUCUAACUCGCUCAGGUACGACAUUUGGAGGCCCCAGCGAGAAACGUCACCGGGAGAAACGUCACCGGGCGAGAGCCGGGCCCGCUGUGUGCUCCCCCGGAAGGACAGCCAGCUUGUAGGGGGGAGUGCCACCUGAAAAAAAAAUUUCCAGGUCCCCAAAGGGUGACCGUCUUCCGGAGGACAGCGGAUCGACUACCAUGUGGGUGCCCACAAAAAUUCCACCUCUGAGUCCUCAACUGCUGACCCCGGGGUCAGGAACUGUUGGAAACUACUGAAACUGGCCGACCUGAUCUUCAAAAUGUGCCCCUAGGAAAGGUGGAUGCCACCGUGUUCACAGACAGUAGCAGCUUCCUCGAGAAGGGACUACGAAAGGCCGGUGCAGCUGUUACCAUGGAGACAGAUGUGUUGUGGGCUCAGGCUUUACCAGCAAACACCUCAGCACAAAAGGCUGAAUUGAUCGCCCUCACUCAGGCUCUCCGAUGGGGUAAGGAUAUUAACGUUAACACUGACAGCAGGUACGCCUUUGC